rnacentral:rRNA from 1 species
GAUGAACGCUGGCGGCGCGCCUAACACAUGCAAGUCGAACGGCACCCCUCUCCGGAGGGAAGCGAGUGGCGAACGGCUGAGUAACACGUGGAGAACCUGCCCCCUCCCCCGGGAUAGCCGCCCGAAAGGACGGGUAAUACCGGAUACCCCGGGGUGCCGCGUGGCACCCCGGCUAAAGCCCCGACGGGAGGGGAUGGCUCCGCGGCCCAUCAGGUAGACGGCGGGGUGACGGCCCACCGUGCCGACAACGGGUAGCCGGGUUGAGAGACCGACCGGCCAGAUUGGGACUGAGACACGGCCCAGACUCCUACGGGAGGCAGCAGUGGGGAAUCUUGCGCAAUGGGGGGAACCCUGACGCAGCGACGCCGCGUGCGGGACGGAGGCCUUCGGGUCGUAAACCGCUUUCAGCAGGGAAGAGUCAAGACUGUACCUGCAGAAGAAGCCC